rnacentral:rRNA from 1 species
CCUACGGGAGGCAGCAGUGAGGAAUAUUGGUCAAUGGGCGAGAGCCUGAACCAGCCAAGUCGCGUGAAGGAUGAAGGAUCUAUGGUUUGUAAACUUCUUUUAUAUGGGAAUAAAGUGAGGAACGUGUUCUUCUUUGUAUGUACCUUAUGAAUAAGGAUCGGCUAACUCCGUGCCAGCAGCCGCGGUAAUACGGAGGAUGCGAGCGUUAUCCGGAUUUAUUGGGUUUAAAGGGUGAGUAGGAGGGUUGUUAAGGCAGUGGUGAAAGUUUGUGGAUCAACCAUAAAAUUGCCGUUGAAAAUGGGAGACUUGAGUACAGGAGAGGAAGGCGGGAUGCGUGGUGGAGCGGUGAAAUGCAUAGAUAGCACGAAGAACUCCGAUUGCGAAGGCAGCCUGCUGGACUGUAACUGACGCUGAUGCUCGAAAGUGUGGGUAUCAAACAGGAUUAGAUACCCGGGUAGUC